UUUUUGUUAUUACAGGUAUGCCAUUGUUUUACAAAUUAUAUAUAUGGAUCUUUUUUAUUUGUUUCUUUUCUUUCUUCUCCGUUCUCUCUCUUCUCUCUUGCUCAUCUCCGUGACUCUGCUAGCGACGACAGCGAGCUGUUGCCGUUCGAACGCCGGCAAAUCGGACCUUAUCGUUACUGCUAGUCGUCUCCCAUUCCUUUCAAUAUAUACUAAAACUCAAAUAUAACUGAAGCACUGUUCAUAAGCACAGUGUGUUUCUUUUUUUUACCCUGUUAGGUUUUUGUUAUUAUAGUUAUGUCAUUGUUUUACAAAUUAUAUAUAUGGAUCUUUUUUAUUUGUUUCUUUUCUUUCUUCUCCGUUCUCUCUCUUCUCUCUCGCUCCUCUCUGUGACUCUGCUAGCGACGACAGCGAGCUGUUGCCGUCUGAACGCCGGCAAAUCGGACCUCAUCGUUACCACCAGUCGUCUCCCUUUCAUCUCAAGAACAAGAAAGUUGUUGCAUGCCUCGAAUCGUUAUUGUUUCAACGAGGGUUUUUGAACUUAACCCCAAUUGCGUGGGUGAGACGCGUAAUUCUACAACCUCUUCAAGGUGUACACGCAGCUAGGAAAAUUUCAGCAAGAAAAAUCCCCAGAAACUCCUCCUCCUGUUUUGUCAUUGAUAUCUCAGCUCUGUCUCUCUCAAUCUUGAGUGUGAGAAAAUGGCUUGAAAAUUGGAAUUUCCAAUAUUUGGGCAAAGGAAAACAAGAAGAGAACACCAAUAGUGGUGACGAUGGAGAAUCCCUUCUUUGCAGUGGAAAUCGACGAUCUAUGUGCAACAUUCAGUGCAGUUUAUAAGAGCAGAGGUCAAAAUGAAGAAUCAAUGACAUGGGGAUUUGUUUAAUUUUAUCAAGUUUUGUAUUGAGGUAAAACUCCCCCCAUUUAACAUAGUUUUAAAUGCUGAUUAGUAUGUGUGUAAAUAAGAUUGUGAG